rfam:Cavia porcellus supercont2_47 genomic scaffold, whole genome shotgun sequence.
UGGUGCCCAACGUGGGACCCGAGAACAGGGGACUUAAUGAAGGAUGCUGUUCAUGGGCCCAAAGUAGAAAAUGGAAAAGAAAAUAGAGGACUGAUGUGGGAGCCUGCCAUGCCGCUGAACCUCGGUAAGUAAAAAGCGAUUAUGGGACAAUAAAUUAACCAGCAUGAGACUUUUGAUAAAAAUUUAGAAAAGCUUUAAAGAUGCAAAGGAUAAAGGAAAAAAAUUUAGCAAUUGUGUCCACUAGGACAA